rnacentral:rRNA from 1 species
CACGUAGUUAGCCGGGGCUUCUUCUGAAGGUACCGUCACUCCGAACGGCUAUUCACCGCCGAAGCUUCGUCCCAACUGAAAGGAGUUUACAACCCGAAGGCCGUCUUCCUCCACGCGUCGUUGCUGCGUCACGCUUUCGCGCAUUGCGCAAGAUUCCCCACUGCUGCCUCCCGUAGGAGUCUGGGCCGUGUCUCAGUCCCAGUGUGGCUGAUCAUCCUCUCAGACCAGCUACCCAUCGUCGCCUUGGUAGGCCAUUACCCCACCAACAAGCUAAUGGGCCGCGGGCCCAUCCUGAUGCGGAAGCCGAAGCUACCUUUCCUCAAGCAGCCUUGUGGCUGCUGAGCACAUUUGGUAUUAGCCCGAGUUUCCCCGGGUUGUCCCAAUCAUCAGGGCAGGUUACCCACGUGUUACUCACCCGUUCGCGGCUUUGCCCCAGGGCAAGCCCCUGGUUCGUCGCUCCACUUGCAUGUGUUAGGCACGCCGCCAGCGUGUCCUCGA